GUCUGGAGAGGCGAGGCCGCAGCCCAGGGCUGGAGGUGGGGUUGGGGGAACUCGGCCCGGGGCCCCCAGAGGUAGGUGGCAGUGGGUGGGGGACUGGGGAGCAGCCAGGCCCUCCCAGGGACCUGAAUGGGAAGGGGGCUGGUGGCUUGGGGGCUGGGGACGGUCCAGAAAGAUUUGAAGCUGGGCCGACACAGCCCUUGAUGUGGGGAAUGUCCUAGAAAGGAGGAAGCCACGGGGGCAGGGAGCACGGGGACUCGGAGGCCUUGGGGUCCAAGGGGAGCCGAGGGGAGCUGUCAAGGCCCACAGUGGCUGAACCAUGAGGAGCUGCUCCCCAGCAAGGCCGGCUGCAGGGCUUGGUGGGCCUGGGCUGGGCGGAAGGCUCCUCCCAGCGUGGGGGCUGCUGUGGGGACAGCAAGGAGGGGUGCAGCGAGGGCCUGGAGAAGGCUCAGGUGCAGACCCUCAGCCGUGGGGCCUCCUCCAGUCGCCCCACAGCCUGGGCCUGGCACCCCCCCACCAAGCCAGAGGGGCCGAAUGCCAGGGCACCUCAGCUACACAAAGGCUCGGACCCCUAGCAGGACCUGGGCACCGCGGCUGACUGGCUGCCUGACGGAGAAUGGAGCCUCUCUGUCACCUGGGCCAACAUGAAUGACCCUUCGUCUGGUGUCUCUGGGGUUCUGGCUGGAGAGCCAAAGGCUGGAAGGUCUGGACCCGCUGCUCACUGGGGUCUGGAUGCCACCGUGGAGCUGCCUCUGGCGCAGCGGGAGAACAAGCAGAGCCACCCUGGUCGUGGGGACGGCACCCGUGUGGCCGGGGCUGUAGCCAGUGAGGCCUUGGUGACGGGAGCGGCUGGAGUGCCACGCGGUGUCCCCCGUGGUCCCACAGCAGCCCUCACACCAUCAACCGGUCCACCGCGUCCCAGCCAUCCCAGGAGGGGGCGGGGACAUCUCUGCAGUGACAGGAAUCGGCUAGGCGCUGGCACCUGUGCGCAGCCGCUCGGCCAGGGUUUAUGUGCUCGGCGGAGACAGCCCUGGGGGUGAGGAGCGAAGGGAGAUCCGAUUCAGGGGCCACUUGGGGCUAAGCCAUGUACGUAUGGCCGAGGCCCUAAGUGAGAGCUGGCCCAGGGCUAGAUCACGUGGCCGUCGAGGCCCGGCCUGCCGCACGGUGGCCACCAGCCAGAGCCCUUGCCGCCCACCCUUCCCAUCCGCCGGGACGCCAGCCUCAGGAGUGGGGUCAGAUGGGGCCUGUGGCCGGGCUCCUCAGCCACUGCCCACUGAGCUCUCGGCCCCCCGGCCAGCGCCUUGGCCACCACUGGUAUAGCUGGAUUCCUGGGAACACCUAGAAACCGGGCUGCUUGGAAACACUGUGGCGUUGCCAUGUGGGGCUCUUCCUCCGCCCGCCAGGGAGGCUGUCCCCGGUGCCCGGUGCUGUGGCCCACACCCGCCAGGUUGCAGAACGUGUGUCCCCCUGGCGAGGCCCCCCAGAACCGUGUUUUUUUUUUUCUAAAGGAGCUGACUCGGGGCCAAGCACAUUCCUCCCGGCCCCCGAGGCUUGCUCUUGUCCAGCCCUGGGAACGCACAGGCGGCCGAGCCCGUGGCCUGGCCGAGGAGGCCGCCGCUCUGCGAGGGGAGCGCUGUUUUCCAGGCCGGCGUCUGGAAUGUUGCUCUGCCUUGCGGUGUGAGCCGACUCCUGCCCCCAUUUCAGCUGCGGCCGC
rnacentral:lncRNA from 1 species